UUUUUCCUGUACCAGCUUCACGUUUGUCAGAAACACUUCAGAACAAUUCAGGAUUAACACCCUGGUGGAGUUUGAGCUUCUUUGUUGCUGCCCAACUUACACAUGGAUUUGACGCAGCCAGCUGAGGGCUCUAAUUCUUGUUGAUCAUGUAUGUUCGUGUAGUUGCUGUCCGAUGUGGCACGUUGUUGCAGCCUAUGAUGGUGAAAGAUCUUUCUACAUCAAGUUCAAUUGGCCGUUCCUUGGUGCUGAUGUUGUGUUACCGAAGUUGCAUCAUAUUUUGUUAA
rnacentral:lncRNA from 1 species